AAGAGCAGCACGACCGGCAUCCACACGGACAACACGACCGCAAAAAAUCACACAGGCAAAAGCAGCAUCCACACACACGAAACCGCAACCGCAACCACAGACAAGACCGAGGACUUUGAGAUCAAAACGAGCAAUACAACGGGCAUGAUCACCAUUUCCACGCGCAAAACCACCCUCUCCAGGGGUAAGAUGUCCAUCAGCAUGGGCAAAACCACCGUUUCCAGGGGCAAGACUAUGAUCACUGUACACAAAAACAGUUUCACCAGGGGCAAGAAUUCUAUAGCACUGGACAAUAUCAUCAUUGUUAGGGGGCAGAAGGACAUCUUUAUUGAGAAGAUUACCAUCACUAGGGGCAAAGAAACACAAUGUCAUCUGUACUGGGAAUACAAUUUGUGAUCUACCAGUAGGCCUGAAAGGUUUGGAUCCUUUACUUUGAUCACAGAGGAAUAUACCAAGCAACAGGUCAAAUGGAAUCUAUCCCUAGCGUUUCAUUGGCUGCCUUUCAGUGUUCAACCAAUGCAUCUGCAGAGGUGAAGAAGAUGAGCCCACUGCCCCACAGAAGGACGUCUCCGCCCCGGCCCCAGGACUGGUUCUGUUGUUUAAUUCCAAGUCUGCGGUUCCCAGAAUUGUAUAAUAAAUAUCUGUUUCUAUGUAACCAAGCAAACUAUUAGCUCGUCAGGUUGAUCUUCUACUAGAAUCUGUAGGUCAUAUAGGGGGAAUAUAUUGUAUUUUGGGAUUUGCAAAGGUAGAGGGUCCAGGUUUGCAUAAGCGAGUGUAACAAAUUAAUAAUAAUUAGCACUAGCUAAUUGGAUUUAUUAACCUCCAGCUCAAAGCUUCUAAUCAUUUUUCAUGCCUUCAGUUUGAGACCACUGGGAACCUUCAUAUUCUGGGCUCUCGGAAACAUUUGUAUUUUUGAUUUAUCCUGAAUGCAUUAAAGCUUUUCGUUUGACCCUGGUCUCAGCUGCCUAAUUUUCCAUCAGAAAGCUUUUGCUGUAGACGGCUUAGUUUGCCCCACCAUUUUACCACCGUGGUCCUAAAUUUGCAUUUGUUGAGAAAUAUCACAACUGGGAAAUUGUCAAACAGUUCAUCAUUUAACCAAAUACUUGGUUGGCCCUCUGUGCGCAUUAAAGAUUAGUGAAUCCCCCCAUUAAAGAGAAAGAUUCCACUGGAGGUGGGGGAGGGUUGGGCUUGGGUGGGGUUGUGGGGGUGGUGGAUUUUGGCAGCCAAAUACCCGGGUGGGUGGGAAAAAAAUGCCAGAAGGGGAAUUGUGAAUCUGUGUUGUGAAGAGGGAGUGAAGCCAGUCCCAGGUGCUCAGUGGUGUGUGGAAUCAAGUGAGGGGUUUCUGUAGAGCAAGGUCUAAGGAGCUGGUGGACUAUGCAGUACAGUGCCCCAUGGUUUUCUCUCUUUUGGUCGGGUGCCUUGUGUGAGGACUCCUCUGUGUUGCCGAGUGUCAGGCAGCGACUGGUAUCCAGAACUUUGAGUGGAGCUUCUCAACAAUGCACAGAGCAAAACCGACUUGAGCAGACAGAGAAGGAACUACGCCAGAACUUCCUUUGGACAGAUCUCCGGGUUUCGUUUUGGGAAUGCUUGAAAUGAGUAACAAGGCACAUUUUCUUUUCCAUUUUAAUGGUAUUCCUCAUACUGGCCGGUGGAAGAAAGAAACAGAUAACGUCUUUGAAAAGGUGGAGAGGUGGAGAGAGAAUGGAAAAUGGAGCUGCUUAUGGAAGAGGGAUGGAACUGAGAGCAGCUGACUACAUAGGAUGGCAAAGUGCAGACAGGAACUGUGACACUGUAGGCAAGCCAGGAAACAAGAGCCAUGCCACUGAGCACAAAGAGCAGAAAGCUACUGAGUCGAUGUCGAUGUUGAGGGUGACUGAGGGUGAGAAUGACCUGAAGGAGAUGGUGAAAGGCAGGUGAAAAUGGGUCAGAGUAUGUUGAGGAGUGCUCUGGAGGGUUGGGCUGUGGAUCUGAGUAUGUUGUGGAAGGUUCUGGACUGGCUUGGCCAUGGGGGCCAAAAGGAAGGUGCUGGUGUGAGGGAGGUGGAGGGAAAAUCUCCGCAAGACGGAGGAGUUGGUGGACUUGCUGCUCUCAUUCCUAUCCCCACUUACUUGGAAGACAUAGCUGUAAACAUACAUUCAAUUGUGGAGGACAUGGCCAUUUUGCAAGUUUGGGAGGGUAACAGGAGUAGACUUCACUCAGAACACUGGGCCACUGAGUUUGAAAAUAUGAUCGUUCCAGGGCUUUAAUAGAAAUUAGGCAGUUUGUCCAAAUUAGGAACAAGGUUUUUCCACAAAAACUGAAGGGCAACACUGAUGCAAAAAUGAAAAUAAAAUAAAAUAGCCUGCAUGUCCAGAGGAGAAUGUUUCACUUACAGGGAACUCAGCAGCCUGUCAAAUUUUCAGAUUUUGAGUGCCUGAGCAUGUGCAGAAGGGCGGAGGGAAACAGAUGUAUUAAAGCUGAUGAGCAGUUAAAGCAGCUAAUUGUAAUAGGGAGAUUCAAUGUGAACAGAAGUCCAGGAAGCGCAGAUGUUGAUACUGUACUUUGCCAGAUGUGCAGCUCGUUGGCAUGGAAACCGGGCAUACAGAUGAUUGGGUGCAGGUGGCUGAGCCCCGCCCUUUGACCACAGCGCGUAGUGCUGGAGGAGGAGGGGGGUCCCACUCGGCCGGAUGUGUGCCUCGGGGGCACUGGUAGAUGGUCAUACCGAAGGGAACCUGGCACCAGCAGGUUGGGGUUGGGAAGUAAGUGCGCCUGCGCUAGCAUAGUGUCCUUUAGCUAUGGCAUUGCCCAGUGCUUCCGCCAUGCCACGCCUCCCUAGAUGCAGGGCGCGUGCCACUACACCUACAGGAGGCGCUGAAGACCGAGAAGCUCCAUGUCCUGGCCAUCUUAAACAAGUUAGCAGUGAGGGGGUUAUGCUUGUCACCUGUCCUCUGAGCGUACCACUCUGAGGCACUCCCAGUGCCAUUAGUCCGGGAGCAGCGCAGAGGUGGGCCAUCCUAGGACUCUGGCCCUGGGACGGCUACUUAGCUUGACUGGGAAUGACCUAGAAACCUCCAUUACUCAAACACAGCCCCAGAACAAUAUCACAAACAUGAACUUCUGUGUAACCAAUGUACACCGUCCAUGCCAUAAUGGAACCUUUAGGCGGCGAGGAGACUCUGGGCACUUGCGAAGGGAGAGGAUCCAGAGUAACGCAAGCAGGUAUAGGAACGAAUCUCACUUAGAGCUGCUACUAACCCGAAUUAACAGCAGUAGCGGAAUCCUCCCCCUUCAGCUUGGCAUUUCUAACAGUUCUGCUUGCCUUGACGCUGUACAAACGGUCGCUUCUGCUUGGGGGAGGGGGAACCGAAAUGUCAGGAGUCGGGAAAGGCCGCUCUGUAUGUCGGAUUUAUCCUGCCUGUAUUAAAGUUCGGUUUUCACCUGG